UUGUAGUGCGCUAACGGCGGAAUCAACACUAUCAAGAUACCAACAACACUAGUAAACAAAUGUGAUAUCUUUCAAUUAUCCACAAUCAAGAUAUGCAAUAAUAGAGUAAAUAAAGUUGAAAGAGAAAAAUUCACACACAACCACAGCAACACAAGAGAAUUUACGUGAUUUAUUCAAAUCGGAUUAUAUCCACAGACACAAAAAGAUCAAAUCCACUAUCAAAUGAGGAGAUUAUAAAAUUUGUCUAGAAAUUACCACUCUAUUACAAUGAGCUUACGACCUUCCAAUAAAUUUUUUUUCUUACUAUACCUUUUUUGAAGCACCUUUCGAUUCCGCGAAUUCUAUUUCGAAAUGCCUCUUAGAAUUCCUUCAAUUUACCUUGGAAGUUUUUUAAUCAAGUAAGAAGAACAAGAGAGCUACUUCUCCAACUCGCUCUACACCUUUCUUCUCUAUCUCAAGAAAACGGAAUCCUAGAGAGCAAAAUGAGAACUCUUUCUUUAUCAAAACUCAAAGAAAAUUUCUCUCUUAACAUCACUUGGCUCAACAUACAAAAUGGGUCAAUUAAAGUUCAAAUCAAUUACUAACUAGCUCAUUACAUGAGUUGUUGAACCAAACUCAAAAUAAAUUAACUAGACUAAUAAGUGAAUUUGAUAUCACUAACCCAAACGCUUGGUGCUGUCGAUACUAUCCCAGCCGGAUUCUAUAGAUCUAAGCUAGAAUACUAUCAAUAACACCAAGCUAUUUGUGCUAUUAGGUUUUCGGCUUUUUGAUGAAAAAAAUAUACAGUUAGGAUAAUGUGAGUCUCCUUGGAUCGAGUGAGUUAUUAGUUUAAUAAUAUAAUCUAACGGAUGAAAAUAGUCAAAGGGUUAAAUCUAACGGCGGAAAACUUAAUAGUACAAAAUAUUUGGUGCUAUCAAUCGUAUCCCAGCAGGACUAUAUAUAUAUAUAUAUAUAUNAAUAGUAACAGGAUCUAGUUACGCAUUUGGUAUAAAUUCAACAAAAAGUAAGUAGUGUAACAUAUUAUAAAAAAAAUAAAAAACUGCAGAUUUUAUUUUAAAUUUUUCUACCUGUCUCUGAUGAUCUGAAUGACUGAAUCUCUCGCAAAACUCAUAUAAUGAAUAUUUCACUAGCACAAAGUGGGAGAGGAGCUUGGGACAGGAGCUUGGGAGUCGGCACGGGCCAGUCAUGGUCCACCUGCCAGAAAUCGAUGCCAGAAAUUGGCACGGUGGUGUUGGGAGAAAACGUUGAACCAGAUGUUCCCGAAAGCUUACCAAGGGUCGAUGGGGAAAAAUCUUAGAGUAAGCGACUGCUUUACAAGGAAAAAUUGGAACUGGUCUAAGAUCCUGAGAAUCGAGGUGGGACAAGCUCUCGGGAGGGGGUACCAGGCAUCUCGGAAUUAAUGCAAACGGUAUCUAGCUUCUCUGUCGAGCAGGAAAUGAAUAAGUUACUUUGGAGAUGGAGCCCUGAUGGCAAAUUCUCGGUCAAAUCCACCUAUUCAGCUUUGUUGGACGGCGGGACGAGAGAUGAACGAGCCAUUUGCAUUUGGAGCCUUAAAAUCCCGCUGAAAGUUAAAGUUUUUUUGUGGCUGCUCCUCAAGAAAAGGAUCCUCACAAGAGAUAGGCUUGUCAAGCGAGGGUGGAUUCAGGAUCCAACCUGCGUGCUUUGUGGGGUGGAGGUCGAAUCAGCGGAUUAUCUAUUCACCAGGUGUGCAUUCGGUAAGUUUGUAUUGGUGACAGGGAUGGAAGACAUCCAAACUCUUGACCUGGGUGUCGAUGUGAACCUAGUUUGGGACAGGUGGAGGGAGAAAAAAGCACAUCAGAACAAGCGUUCCGGUCUCAUUGACCUAGUAGGGUGUUGGUGGAUUAUCUGGAAGGUCAGGAACGAUACGAUCUUUUGGAAUAUCUAGCCUAACCCAGGGGUGGCGGUAAGCAGUCUCAAGAAAUUGCUGAAGGAGUGGGAACCGCUGCUCAGAUCAACUUAGUACAGUUUUUACCUUUUUUUGCCCUUUGCCUUGGCCGUUUCGCGGGGCCCGGUUGCCCCACACCUGUAGCUUAAUUCACCAAAUCAAUGAAUGAAGCGGGUAGCGUGCUACCUUCCUCUCAAAAAAAAAAAAUUUCACUAGCACAAAUUAGCAUCGACUUUACAAAGAAUUUAUUUUAUAUUAAAAUAAUCAAAACUAACAGUAAUAUAUUGUAGUGCGCUAACAACGAAACCAAGACUAUCAAAAUACCAACCACACUAGUAAAUAAAUGUGAUAUUUUUAAAUUAUUCACAAUUAAAAUAUGCAAAAUAGAGUAAAUAAAGUUGAAAGAGAAAAAUUCAAACACAACCACAACAACACAAGAGAAUUUAUGUGAUUCGUCAAAAUCGGACUAUAUCCGCAGGCACGAAAAGAUCAAAUCCACUGUCAAAUGAGGAGAUUACAAGAUUUGUUUAGAGAUUACCACUCUAUUACAAUGGGCUUAUGACCUUCCAAUAAAAAUUUCUUCUUAUUACACCUUCUUUGAAGCACCUUUCAAUUCCGCGAAUUUCAUUUCGAAAUACCUCUUAGAAUUCCUCCAAUUUACCUUGGAAGUUUUUUAAUCAAGUAAGAAGAACAAGAUAGCUACUUCUCCAACUCGCCCUACACCUCUCUUCUCUAUCUCAAGAAAACGGAAUCCUAGAGAGCAAAAUGAGAACUCUUUCUUUAUCAAAACUCAAAGAAAAUUUCUCUCUUAACAUCACUUGGCUCAACAUACAAAAUGGGUCAAUUAAAGUUCCAAUCAAUUACUAACUAGCUCAUUACAUGAGUCGUUGAACCAAACUCAAAAUAAAUUAACUAGACUAAUAAGUGAAUUUGAUAUCACUAACCCAAACGCUUGGUGCUGUCGAUACUAUCCCAGCCGGAUUCUAUAGAUCUAAGCCAGAAUACUAUCAAUAACACCAAGCUAUUUGUGCUAUUAGGUUUUCGGCUCUUUGAUGAAAAAAUAUACAGUUAGGAUAAUGUGAGUCUCCUUGGAUCGAGUGAGUUAUUAGUUUAAUAAUGUAAUCUAACGGAUGAAAAUAGUCAAAGGGUUAAAUCUAACGGCGGAAAACUUAAUAGUACAAAAU
rnacentral:lncRNA from 1 species